AACGAACGCUGGCGGCAUGCCUAACACAUGCAAGUCGAACGAGACCUUCGGGUCUAGUGGCGCACGGGUGCGUAACGCGUGGGAACCUGCCCUUAGGUUCGGAAUAACUCCCCGAAAGGGGUGCUAAUACCGGAUAAUGUCUUCGGACCAAAGAUUUAUCGCCUUUGGAUGGGCCCGCGUUGGAUUAGCUAGUUGGUAGGGUAAAAGCCUACCAAGGCGACGAUCCAUAGCUGGUCUGAGAGGAUGAGCAGCCACACUGGGACUGAGACACGGCCCAGACUCCUACGCGAGGCAGCAGUGGGGAAUAUUGGACAAUGGGCGAAAGCCUGAUCCAGCAAUGCCGCGUGAGUGAUGAAGGCCGUAGGGUUGUAAAGCUCGUUUACCCGGGAUGAUAAUGACAGUACCGGGAGAAUAAGCUCCGGCUAACUCCGUG
rnacentral:rRNA from 1 species